AGAACAGGCAGUACUGAGACAGGAGACAGCAUGGAGGUACAGGAGAGGCUGGAGUGAGCUGCUGCUACUGCAUGCUCACUCCCAUCAGCAGCAUGGAGGCAGCAUAGAAGAACAGGCAGUACUGAGACAGGAGGCAGCAUGGAGAUACAGGAGAGGCUGGAGUGAGCUGCUACUACAUGAUCACUCCCAUCAGCAGCAUGGAGAACAGGCAGUACUGAGACAGGAGACAGCAUGGAGGUACAGGAGAGGCUGGAGUGAGCUGCUACUACAUGAUCACUCCCAUCAGCAGCAUGGAGGCAGCAUAGAAGAACAGGCAGUACUGAGACAGGAGACAGCAUGGAGAUACAGGAGAGGCUGGAGUGAGCUGCUACUACAUGAUCACUCCCAUCAGCAGCAUGGAGAACAGGCAGUACUGAGACAGGAGACAGCAUGG